GACGGAGGAUGCAAGUGUUAUCCGGAAUCACUGGGCGUAAAGCGUCUGUAGGUGGUACAAUAAGUCAACUGUUAAAUCUUGAGGCUUAACCUCAAAAUCGCAGUCGAAACUAUUAGACUAGAGUAUAGUAGGGGUAAAGGGAAUUUCCAGUGGAGCGGUGAAAUGCGUAGAGAUUGGAAAGAACACCGAUGGCGAAGGCACUUUACUGGGCUAUUACUAACACUCAGAGACGAAAGCUAGGGUAGCAAAUGGG
rnacentral:rRNA from 1 species